rnacentral:rRNA from 1 species
UGCUGUAUAAAAGGUGGCCUUCGGGCUGUCGUUUGGGGAUGAGUCUGCGUCCUAUUAGUUAGUUGGUGAGGUAAUGGCUCACCAAGGCGAUGAUAGGUAGGCGGCCUUAACGGGUGGUCGCCCACACUGGGAUUGAGAUACGGCCCAGACUCCUACGGGAGGCAGCAGUCGAGAAUAGUCUACAAUGGACGAAAGUCUGAUAGUGCGACGCCGCGUGAACGAAGACUCCCUAACAGGGUGUAAAGUUCUUUUAUAUGUGAGCAAUGGGUUAUAUAUUAAUAGUAUGUAGCCAGAGAUAUUAGCAUAUGAAUAAGCAACGGCUAACUCCGUGCCAGCAGCCGCGGUAACACGGGGGUUGCAAGCGUUGUCCGGAAUUACUAGGCGUAAAGGGCAGGUAGGCGGAUCAGUAAGUUUGAUGUCAAAUCCAUCGGCUCACCCGAUGAUCGGCAUCAGAUACUGCUGAUCUGGAAUACGGUUGAGGAAGACAGAAUUCCUGGUGUAGCGGUGGAAUGCGCAGAGAUCAGGAGGAAUACCAAAUGCGAAGGCAGUCUUCUAGGCCGUUAUUGACGCUAAACUGCGAAGGUGUGGGGAUCAAACAAGAUUAGAUACCCUGGUAGUCCACACAGUAAACGACCAUAAAGAGGUGUCGGGUUUCAAAUAAACUCGGUGCCGUAGCUAACGCGUUAUGUGAUUCGCCUGGGGGGUGCGCUCGCUCGCCUGUUGCUCUCCGGUGUUGUCGGGGGCUCGCUCUCGCGGUGGGGCGUGCGGUUUUUUUCGUUGCUGCGCGCGGGGCCUUCCCCGGUCUUG